rnacentral:rRNA from 1 species
AACGAACGCUGGCGGCGUGCCUAAGACAUGCAAGUCGUGCGAGAAAAGGGGGCUUCGGCCCCGAGUAAAGCGGCGCACGGGUGAGUAACGCGUGGGUAACCCGACCCUCGAAGUCGGGAAGUAACCCGGGGAAACCCGUGGGCGUAAUGCCGGAUGAGCCUACGAGCUCCUCGGAACAUGUGGGAAAAGGUGGCCUCUGCUUGCAAGCUACCGCUUCGAGACGGGCCCGCGUCCCAUUAGCUAGUUGGUGAGGAACGGCUCACCAAGGCGAUGAUGGGUAGCUGGUCUGAGAGGACGAUCAGCCACACUGGAAC